UACGAAGGGUGCAAGCGUUAAUCGGAAUUACUGGGCGUAAAGCGUGCGUAGGCGGUUUGUUAAGUCUGCUGUGAAAUCCCCGGGCUCAACCUGGGAAUGGCAGUGGAUACUGGCAAGCUAGAGUGUGUCAGAGGAUGGUGGAAUUCCCGGUGUAGCGGUGAAAUGCGUAGAGAUCGGGAGGAACAUCAGUGGCGAAGGCGGCCAUCUGGGACAACACUGACGCUGAGGCACGGAAAA
rnacentral:rRNA from 1 species